rnacentral:precursor_RNA from 8 species
AGGAGAUGAGUCCAAUGUUUUGGGUUGACCUAAAAGUUCAUUUGGGUUUUUCUAUAACAUCUUGCAGAAAAACCGGAAUGAACUUUUUGGCCUACCCAAUAAAUAAAAGGCUUUUCAGAA